CCUGCAUUUACCUUGGGACACACACACACAGACUGAACGCCAUAUAAGGAGGUCGAGAUUAUGAUGUAUAUACUCUCGGGCUUACGCAAACACUCUCUCUCUCUCUCUCUCUCUCUCUCUCUCUCUCUCUCUCUCUCUCUCUCUCUCUCUCUCUCUCUCUCUCCCCCAUCAAUGCAAGGCCACGUGGUUCUGCAAGCCUGGCACGCCGACUAAGCCAUGGACGUUUGUAAACAGAACAUCACAUUACACUCCACCUCACGUCACCUCACCUCACAGCCUGCCUACACACACACAAACACACACACACAUGAACCCCCAUCACCCAUGUCCUCACAGAUAAUUCCCCAAGUACAUUUUUUUGAGAGGCACAGAAGCAAGGGAAGGAACCAGGAUCUUGCGACUAAACUUGUGACUAGACUUGCCCAUAGACGGAUAUAAAGGUCAGUGGAUACGCUGGAGAAUAAGGUCAUUUAAGGUCGGUAUUGUUAGACGCUUCCACCUCUCACAUGAGCUAUUUUUAAAGGACGAAAAUGAGAUCAGUCGGGUUGUAAUGAGUGUUUCUGUAGGUUCAUGGUACAGAAGAAGGGCCAGUCUAUACCAGUGUCAAGCUACUCCUGGAAAGGCCCCAAACUCAAACACACGUCUAAUCUAAUAUGUGAGCUUGGACGCGGAAAUGUUUUAAUAAUAAGGCCUUAAGACUUUAGCCUGUUUAUAUUGGCUUUGUUUUUUCGUCUGUCUCUCUGAAGUAGACGGAUUUCAUUUUUUUUUUUUUUACAGUAGAGGAAACAGUCCAAGGGCAAAAAAUAAAAAAAGGAAACAAUAAUGAAAAAAAGCCCGCUAUUCACUGCUCCUACAAAAGUCAAGAGGAGUGGCCGAAAGAUAGGUCAAUUUCGGGAGGAGAGGUGUCCUGCUACCCUGAGAAGAUAGACAUUGAUGUACUAGUGUGUGAAAUGCUGAAAAAACCGCUCGAUUCCUUGAUUAUACAGCGUUAAGAUACGUGUUCUAAGGUUGGCGUUUAUAUUGGCUUUGUUUUCUCGUCUGUCUCUCUGAAGUAGAUGGACUUUAAAUGUAACCAAUAAGGAGAAGAAAGACAUUGAUGUACUAGUGUGUGAAAUGCUGAUUAAAAAAAAACCGCUCGAUUCUUUGAUUAUACAGUGUUAAGAUAUGUGUUCUUAGGUUGGUGUUUAUAUUGGUUUUGUUAUUCGUCUGUCUCUCUGAAGCAGAUGGACUUUAAAUGUAACCAAUAAGGAGAAGAAAGACAGUGAUGUACUAGUGUGUGAAAUGCUGAAAAAAACCCGCUCGAUUCCUAGAUUAUACAGUGUUAAGAUACGUGUUCUAAGGCUGGCGUUUAUAUUGGCUUUGUUUUCUCGUCUGUCUCUCUGAAGUAGAUGGACUUUAAAUGUAACCAAUAAGGAGAAGAAAGACAUUGACGAAAUGCUAAAAAAAAACGCUCGAUUUUUAGAUUAUACAGCGUUAAGAUACGUGUUCUGAGGUUGGCGUUAAUGUUGGCUUUGUUUUCUCGUCUGUCUCUCUGAAGUAGAUGGACUUUAAAUGUAACCAAUAAGGAGAAGAAAGACAUUGACGUACUAGUGUGUGACAUGCUAAAAACAGCGCUCGAUACCUUGUUUAUACAGUUAAGAUACGUGUUCUAAGCUUGUACAAAAUCUGAAAGCCGUGUUGCUACUCCUUCAAACUUGACAUAUAUACUAGUUUGUGAAUGCUAAAUAAACCUCUAUUCCUAGAUUACAAAAUGUCAAACUACGUGUUCCAAGGUUGUAAAAAUGAUCAGCUCAGUGUUGUCAAGCCGUAGCGAUGCCAGGAGCUCCUUGUUUUGCCGCGCGGCCCAACAAGGAAUGCUGACCCAGUGUGAUGACAUGAUGAUUGGCUUAAUAAACUACGGGUUCCAAGGUUGUAAAAAUGCUAGGUCAGUGUUGUCAGGCCGUAGCGAUGCCAGGAGCUCCUCGUUUUGCCGCGCGGCCCAACAAGGAAUGCUGACCCAGUGUGGUGACAUGAUGAUUGGCUUAAUAAACUACGGGUUCCAAGGUUGUAAAAAUGCUAGGUCAGUGUUGUCAAGCCGUAGCGAUGCCAGGAGCUCCUUGUUUUGCCGCGCGGCCCAACAAGGAAUGCUGACCCAGUGAGCCGAUUUCACAGUCCAACACGGUGUCUUCGUAACAGCCCGAACCAAACUAUAGAAUCCCAUACAAUCCAAAA